rnacentral:tRNA from 1 species
GCCUUCGUGGUGUAAUAGUCAGCACAUUGAGUCGGUAUUUCAGAGGUCCGUGGUUCGAUUCCCGGCGAAGGAA